rnacentral:lncRNA from 1 species
UGCCAAAUGCCACAGAGACCUCCAGGGAGAGUGAGAGUUAUACUUGGACUGACUUCAUCGGUCAGAAAGCCUUCCCCUAACAGCAGCAUUAUUUCUGCUAUUAACCCCAUACAUCUCUGGAUAAAGAAACUGAAAACGUGGCCUUUGGAAGAAUCAACAGUAAUGUUGUGAAAAAAAUAUAUAUUCUUUUCACUGACCGAAGUGUUUUUUCAAAUAAAUAAUCAGAAAUGUUAUGCUACACAAAGUUUAUGGUAUCCCUUCUCUACUAAUUCAAUGACUCUUCAAUGUGAUGAUCCCAAGCAAAAAAAAAAAAAAAAAAAAAAAAUCAACUACUGAUCAGAUGGUCAAUUUCUAAGGAAAAGAUGUAGAGUUAUUCAAAGGUCAUCUAAGUCAGUUCAGUCUUUGCAAAAAGAAUAUCAGGAAUGUAACGUCCAGUGGUAAAUGGAACCCACAGUAUGAGAAGUAACAAGAAUUAAAUAGGAAGCCUGGAAGCCUGAGACUAUAGAUCUAUCACAGAAGAUUCCCGUAACAUAUCCCAGCUCUGAGUUCUUAGAUUUGUUGAUGUCAAGGAGCCCAAAUUUCUGAACACAAAUGCCUGAGUUUCAGCUGGCUUAAGUCAGAGCUGGCAUCCAUAAUGAUAUUUUGUUAAUUCUAAUUGGUUUUCCCCACUUGAGAAGGACCCAACUAGUCCUCAGAUAGGUACACUUGAAUGCAAACGGUUGGGUCUCUGUCCAUGGGUAAUAGCACGCACAUGCAACCAAUUUAAAAUACUCUGGGUAAGAGAGUCUUCUAGAGCAUAAACUGUACUUGAGAAACCUUUGUGCUUCUGGAAAAUGGGUUUCAUCAUCCUUACAUCUGCAGGUUCUUAGGCCACUUAUGGUUUCAAUGCUCUGAGCUGGCAAGUCCCUAUAGGUCUAUCUUUCUGCCAGAGAGACUUGCAGGAUUAUAAUCUCACAAUCUCACCACUCAUUACUGUUAUGUCCUCUGCAAAUCUCUCUGCGUUAUUUUAGCCAGCACCAUGACUGGGCAUCCACGGAUUACUCUUGAUUUUCUCUUCCCUGAUUCACAGGAUGCCAGAGAGUCUGAGUAUUUAGUUUUUCUGGUGAAAGCAUUAAAAUUCACACAUUGCAGCAAAAUCUGUCAAAUCAUUUCACGCUUAUUUUCUGGGGAGAAAAAUAGAAAAUUACACCUUGUUUACAAAUGAAAUAGUUUCACUUAAAUGGGACUCUAGCCAAGGCAGUUAAUUAGUCAAAAGAUCCACAGCUGUCAUAUAGUCACACAUUGUUUAUUCUAUUUGCUAUGUCGACCACUGAUGUGUAUUUAAUAUUCUGCAUCCUUCACAGGAAAUGACAAAUGCCCUGAAUUAUUUGCAAAUAGAAUUGCUAAUGAAAAAGAAAAAAAAUGUUGAUGUUAAUUAAAUGGUGAUUAAAAAUUUAUCUCCUUUAAAUCUAAAAAGUGCAGCUUUAAUAAUCAGUUGUCAUAUAAAUAAGUACCUUGUACUGAAAUCCCUUGCGGUUUAAGACCUAAAUAAACACUAAUUUGAGAACUCUAAAUACCUUACAGAGGAGCUGGAUAUAUUCGUUAACAUUAUGCACAUUCCUGUACUGUUUCUUUGUGCAUAGCUGUUGUGCAUGAAUCCUUGAAAAGGGGACAUGCGUUGUUUCUGAAAUGGAGCCUGUUUGUAUUAACCAUGGCUAUAGUAGACAUGAUUGGACUCAAAGAAAAAGAAGUUUGAGUAGGUGGAAGCUAAAUGUGUUGCUUGAUAUUUAAUGAGUGAAGGGUUCUAUGUAAAGGCAAUUUUCCUUCCAAAAGUACUGUUUAUUUUCACUGGAGACAAAAUUAGACCUUUCCAGAUACCCCAUCUCUUUUUGGUGAACAGGGUUGAAAGUGCUGUGGGGUCUAUACUUGAAAAGUUCUCCCAAUAUGCAGUUACUGUUUCCCAUUCAAUCCCUAUACAUUGUACUGUGUUCAUAUCUAAUUGUAUCAGAUGAGGUCAGCUUGCCACUUGAUAUAGAUCAGAGAUGAUCAAAUGCACUUAUCCUGUGAAUACAACUGCUUGUGUACACAUGUAUAUAAUAUACAUGCUUGAUUUCUACAAUUCACACGUAAGUGUAUUAUCCAAAUAAAAUUGUACAUAUUGUAAAGUUUAUGUUAAAAAUUAAAUGGUGAUGAUGGUAUUAACACAUGGAAAACCCAUUCUGGUUAUUUUUAUGGGAGGAUAUUUCUGUAGAGAGGGCACUAUAUUUUUUUAAUCUCAGUUGUAGGGAGGAUGACAGAGCCUAAGUAGAAUAUGGGUGUUGGCGUUCUUGGCCCCUUCUUUAAAAAACAAAACUCUGGGAUGAGGGGUAUAGAAUAUAUUCUGCUCGCAUUUGCUUCUGAAGACAAUGCCGAUAUGGACUUGUGUGUGAUUUCCUUAAACACAUCAAAGGGCAUAGAUUUCCUAUUUAAAUUCCUUAUCCUCUUUCCUCACCUGCACUCUUUCUGUGCCCAGCAGUACUUUCAGUAUAGUAUUAGCUAGAAGUGCCUGCCCAGAAGGGUCUUAGAAAAAUAGAGUUCGUAGAACCACACCAAAAGUUAGGAGAAGGGGAGGAGAGAUGAGAAAAAUGAAGUUUACAAAUGGGCAGUUGCCUGUUUAAGAUCAUCAAGUUAGAGAGUAUCAGAGCGAGGAUUAGAUCCAAGACAUGGUUCAAUUUCUGGCUCGAUUCUCUGACCGGGCUGACUUAUUUCUAGGUUUCUUUCAAGGGGAAACUCCUGAGUAGCUCUGGAAUAAGAGCCAGAGAUCCCCAUAAGGCUGCCCUGGUUUUUGUUUUGUUUUGUUUUUUGUUUUUGCCACUUGCCCCAGAAAGACCUACCCAUGCUUCUUUGAAUUUGGUUUUCCUUUAAACUCCCUCACAAUCCCUGUCUUAAAGUUCCUAGAAGAGAAAACUUUUCUCAGAGACCGUCUCCUUAGGAAAAAUCAACAGGGAUAUUGUUUAAAACCUCAAACUGAAGAUAAAAGGCUGGCAGUGACCAUUGAAAUAAUUGAGGUCUAUGUAUCAUGCAUUGAGGAAGAACCAAGCACAUUGACCAGCUAAUAGGACUUCACUGAAUGUCCACUUUAUUUUGAAAGCCAGUUUGGGAUUGUGGGGGAGGGGAUGCAAAAUAAAUAGAAAAUAUAGUCUCUUCCCAUAAGUAGCUUAUGGUUUAGAAGUUCAGUUCUCUAAUACAAAGGAUAACCAAGGACCCAUGCAAUGCAAACAGAGACUAAACAGCAAAAAUUAGAAAUGACAACUAAAGUUGUAGCCAGGAAAAAAAAAAUAAUCUGAUUCUAUGAGCAUACCUUUUUUAAAAAAAAAAAAAAAGUCCUUCCCUAAACCUUUAAGUAACUCCGGAGAAUAGAGUUAGUGGUCCCGGAAAUGCAGUUGAUUUAUUUUAAUCUUCAAAUAAUGGACUUAGGAGACCCAGGAGCUGCUAACCAGGUGAACACACUCACACUCCUACAUUUUUGCACAGGAAGGCUUUUGUCUGGUUCCAACCAGUUCUCCAGUCCUUGCCAAAUCAUGCCUCCUCCCAGCCUUGCAUUAUGACAUGUGCCUCAAGAAAAGGUUGAAAAAAUUCCCCAAAGGAUUAGAAAAUAGACCAUGAUGUAAAAAGACGAAGCAUUUCCCUAAAGCUUUUUUGUUUGGUUUUGUUUUUGACAUUUGAAGAACCCUUCUGAUACACCAGGGUAUGAAUGUAUCAGGGAAGCAUAGAGGGAAAAUUCUUUAUCAAGUUCCAAGUGCCUACUGCUGUGGCUGACAGAAAGCAUCAGGUUCCCUAGAGAGAAAACGGGGCAAAGAGAUGGCAAAAGGAAUAGAGGUGUAUUUCAGGAAGGAUGGCGAGGUGGAGAGGGAGCUUUUGUCACUCUGUCUAUCCCAUUCUGUGCAUUCUUGGAAUGUUACAUUUUCUGCUUAUCGCAAGUACUUGCCAUGGAUCUGCACCUGAAUUUGAAAAUAUCAAAAUAUAUCUAAAUUGAGUGUAGGCGAUAUUCUAGGCAUAUCCUAGAAUGUGAUCCUCAAAACAACCUUAAGAUAUAAAUAUGAUUGCUCCCAUUUUACAGAUAAGGAAACUGAGGCUCAGGUUUUUCUCAACCUCGUCAGCAACUAGAAUUAGCUAGUAAAUCCCUAACGUUAGACAUAUUUUCAAAGUGCCUGGUCUCCUCCAGGGAGGUCAGAAUAGAAGUCAGAAAGAGAGGUGUGCUCUUUUGAGGUUCCUGGGCAUAUACCCUUGAGUAUCAGCCUCUGUGACAGGGAAGUCUGUUAGGGUCUUACCCCUCAUUGCCUGAUCUGUGUGUAUGGAGAACUUCUGGGGAUCUCACCUCUGUUCAUAGUUCCUUCUGAGACUUGAACACUGUUUGUGUCUCCCUUUCAUAUGCUUGCACUUAGCAUUUAAAAAAAUUUCUGGGGAGUUAUUUUCUCUACUUAGCAUGUGCCUAAUCUUAAAUAUCUCUUUCCUAAUGUCUCAUCUUUUUAUCAGUCAACAUCAGGGCUAAUUCCAUUAAACAUAUAUACAUAGUACAUGCUCUCAUGUGUGUGGGUAUGCACACACACACACACAGCCAUGUGACCCUCCAUUAAAGUCCUCCUAAAUAUUGUGACCCAUGUUCAAAGAGGUGAUAUUAUUUGCAAGUUGACUAUUCCUCCUAUUUCAUGUCUAUGUUUGGUUAUCUUUGCCAGGCAGAUGGAAUGAGUUUCAGAGGUGGGACAGGGAAUAGGAAAUAGAGUUUCUGCAUGAAUGAUGGAGAGCUUUGGUAGUCAGAAUGAUUGAGGACCAGCUAUUAAAAUGUUGUUGUUGUUUUCCUUCUUGGUCUGUUCCUUUUUUUUUUUCUUUUCCAAAUUGUCUUAGAGAUAAUUCCCGGCUCACUUAGCAUUAGGAUAAUGACGGUUAUUCUGUCCCACUGAAGAGUGUUGAACUGGAACGCUUCCACCGGGCUUUAUAGGUACCCAGAAUGGCCUAAUGUUUAACAUAUCCUGCAGGCAUGCCCCUGAGCACACACUGCCUUUCCUGCAUUCCCCCCUCUCCAUGGUCUAAGCCACAUUUCUUUCCUGGCAUUUAUAUUUACUGAGAGGUGAGGGGUGCAUUAGGCCCAUUUGAUGGAUGAGGACACUAGCGGGGAUUUGAAGGAAUGUCUUUCUGGGAGUCUCCAUGAAUUCUCUGGAGAGUUAGCUAACUUAAUGCAAGUUAAGUGCUAGUCUAUGAGAAAAAUUUCUCAGCUGUUUUCAUCUUUCAAGCUGGCAGUAAAAAGCCUUUUAAGACAGAAAGAUUAUUAUUUGUUAUUUGGAGAUCCUGUUGUUGGGUCUACAAGUGCGUGACCAUGUUCUCCUUGGAAUGUUGAGCUAUGCAGAAAUGGAGCACUCCAAAGAACGAUUUGACCAAUAGCAUUUCUUCUCUGGGGGUUGUAUUUCAAAGCAUGCAACUCUCCAGGGAACCAGAACUAAAUUGCUUAAAAUGAAGUCAUUCCUCAGAUUAACUUCCUCAGAUAAAGUGUCAGCGGUCUGCAGAAACGAAGAAGACAAAACUGAGAUUAUCACUCAUAAUUCUCUUACUUACUAUGUCAGUGAAACAAUGAGUUUGCAUUUUUGCAAUCCUAGAACAUUCUUCAUUAGCCCUGGGUCAUGACCUCUUCCAGUUAAUUCUCUUUCACACCUUUAGGAAAGAUUUAAGAUGAACCUUCAAUAGGAUAUUAACAUAACUCAUAGCCAAUACCACAGCUGCCUUUCAAAUUAAUGAGGUUAAUUGUUCUCCAGCAAACAUGAGUUUGUCUUUGGCAUUUUAAAUGCUUCCCAUUGAUCUGACAUUUUGCUGUUUCAAGUUUUAAAGGGCUCAAAUCAAAGACUAUUGAUAACUGAGCAAAGAGCGAAGAUCCAGAAAUACGAAAACAUUGUCUUUUUUUUUCCAUGAAAAACAAUCAUAGCCUUUUGAAUUCAAUCGAAGUUUCUACAUUAGCCAUCUAAGACUUAUUUAAUUAUUUCUGUUCUCAGUCAAGCUAAUUCAAGUGAAUGAACAGUAUUGACUUUUAAAAUCUUUUUUAAAUUUUUUUAAAUCUUUAGUUUAUUAAGUUUGUAGAAAAGCUCUGGGGCCAUGACCACUUACGUAAAUGUUUCAGUUUAAAAACAAAAGAUUCAGGCCUCUAAUUUGAGCCAAAUCCAGGUGAUCUUGUUUGAAAUUUUUGAUGAAUUUGAAAAGAUGAAAGUGGAACUUUUAACAUUCAUGUUCCCCAAAUUUUUCACUGGGAAGGGAUGCUAAUUGCCUACUUAAGAUAUAAGUUCAAGAAUAACAUUUUCAUAGAAAAUUCAGAAAACUGCUUGACACAGCAGUGACAUAGUUAGAUGUGGCUCAGAUGCCUUCCAAACCUGAGGGUCCCCAAAGAUUUCUUUACCAGUUGUUUUUAACUAUGAAUCUUAAUCUUGUUCAUUCCCCUGCCAAAACAAAUUUAAAAGCAUAAACCUGCUGAAUUAAUUGGCAGAAUUCACCAUAGUUUAUAUCACCCCAGAAUGUUUAUGUGUAUAUGUUUAUGUAUAGUAUAUAUAUUUCAAGCUGAAUGUUCAGAAAGAAUAAGGUGAGUUUCUUGGUAGCUUGAAUAAGAAUUAGAUCAUAAAAAUUAUAAAUAAUGGCCUUCUCAAAGAGGAUAAAUGAUUCAUUUUUCACUCACGUAUUAAUAAUAUGACUUGUUGCAUAAUACACAAGCUGGUCAUUGCCUGCAAGAAAGUUAUUGAAUUAAGCAGCUAUCCAGGUUUAUGUCUGAGUCCAUUUUUAACCCAACAAGGCUAGGAUUGAACUCCAUAUGCAGAGGGUUUCUAUUCACAGCUACAUUCAAACAGAAUCCAAAACCCACAUCAGAACUGACUUGAUGUCUUGUAUGGUGGAGCUGAAAGCAAGCUGUCUGCUCUAAGCAAUGGUCUUCAUUUGGGAAUUAAUGUUCACUGAUCAACUGCAGCAGUUUAUAUCUGUCAUGUUUUAAUCCACUGCAUGAGGAAGUGCUAAUAAGUGUAUUAAAUAUUUCCAAGCAUAGCUACAAAAUUAUAUGUUUGCUUAACACCUUUCUAUGAUAGAGGAAGUAUAUACUAUGGUUGUCUUCUUGUAGUAUGUCUUUUAAUUUUGUUCAAUGUGUUAUCAACUGUUUUAAGGAAUGGGGAUUGAAAUUCGUGUGCAAACUGAUAUGUAUAUAACUCCUGAGGCAACAGAAGUGCCCGGUCAUAUGGUGUAAAAAUGUAAAUACAGGAAAAUUUCAUUUUUCUAAUAAAGAUAAUUUCUGCCAAUUGAUAUGAAAA